rnacentral:rRNA from 1 species
UGCCGGAGCGCGACGCUCUCCCCAAGGACGAAGCCAUGCAUGCCCGCUCACCCGGGACGCGGCGGACGGCUCAGGACAACGGUUGCACCCCCCGCGGCGGUCCCUGCUAGCCGGACACCGCUGGCAACCCGGCGCCAAGACGUGCGCGCAAGGGCGGGCGCCCGCGGGCGAGCAGCGUGACGCAGCGACGGCCCGCCCGGGCUUCCGGGGCAUCACCCGGUCGGCGCGGUCGCGGCGCGCCGAGGGCCCGACGCCUGGCGGAG